AAUAUUAUAGUCUCCUUGACUAAGUCUUACAAGACUUAUGAUUUCAGUCUUCACGACUCUUGAUCAAACUUCUCCCAAGAAUUCAAGAAUCCUUGGAUUAAUGUCGCAUUAUCUAGCAUGCAGAGUAGAUGCAAAUUACGGAAAUUUAAAGGAUGGUCGGUAAAUGCGUACCCGGAGAAACCUGGGAAAGGAAACAGUGCUGCUCUAACUCCGAUGACACACCUGCCCUGUGUCCCGGGUUAUGGGUUAAUUCCCACCACUGGCUCAAAGGUCAGUUAAUGUGAUGGAGAUGAGCAGCGAGGCCAUGCGCAGCUAUGGGGCAUGACCUCAACUUUACCUUUAAUAACAUUGCUACUGCUAUCAGUGUUACUAAUAUCAGCUGCAACCAACCUGAUACAUUAAAAAUAAAACAUACCCAGCCAUCAAAUCAUGUCUUGGAAUAAAGAUAUCUUAAUCGCCUCAGCCCCUGCAUGGCCUUCCUCCUUCCCUCAGCAUCCAAGUCUUACAUCACGGCUGGCUCCCAUCAUUGAUCUGAAACCAUACACUCUGCUCCUUUAGAAUUCAUACAUUCAACAAACAUAAAAUUGCCUUAAAAUAAAGAAAAAAAUAAAUAAAUAAAUUAGAUGCUAUUCUAGAAACAUAUAAUUCAGAAAAAACAAGAAACAAAUCCAAAUGGAACUGUACAUAAUUUCUCUCGGACAAGCCAAGGAAAGAAUUAAUUAAGGUUUGACACACACACUAAAAAUAAACAACAGCAUUCUAUUGUCAUUUUAUUUUUUAGCUUUGAGAUGCAACAACAACUGUACAAGGUAAAUAUACAGGAUUUUACAAAACUCUGCAAACGUCAUAACACUUACAAGACACAACAUAAAAAGUAUACCAGAGAAAAACUUGACUUAACGCCUUGAUGAUGUAGAGACAGACACACUGACAGACAGGGGGCCUCGAUUCUCCGCUGGGCAGUGAACCGGAAUAGGAGGAGGACCAGGAGAGGAAGGACUGGGAUAUGGGGGCUGGAGGAUGAGACAGGAGUUGGGAGAAGGGAGUAAGGGUGAGGUUGAGGAAUGGGAUACAUGGAGAGAAG